rnacentral:tRNA from 1 species
GCGCCAGUAGCUCAAUGGAUAGAGUACCUGACUACGAAUCAGUAGGUUGGAGGUUCGAGUCCUCUCUGGCGCACCA